rnacentral:rRNA from 1 species
ACGGAGGGGGCAAGCGUUGCUCGGAAUUACUGGGCGUAAAGCGUGCGUAGGCGGUUCGUUAAGUCCGAUGUGAAAGCCCUGGGCUCAACCUGGGAACUGCAUUGGAAACUGGCGGGCUGGAGUGCGGUAGAGGGUGGCGGAAUUCCCGGUGUAGCAGUGAAAUGCGUAGAUAUCGGGAGGAACACCCGUGGCGAAGGCGGCCACCUGGACCAGCACUGACGCUGAGGCACGAAAGCGUGGGGAGCAAACAGGAUUAGAUACCCUGGUAGUCCACGCCCUAAACGAUGCGAACUGGAUGUUGGGUGCGACUUGGCACUCAGUAUCGAAGCUAACGCGUUAAGUUCGCCGCCUGGGAAGUACGGUCGCAAGACUGAAACUCAA